GGGGUUGUGGCUCAAAGGUAGAGCACUCACCUACUAAAUGUGAGGCCCUGGGUUCGAUCCUCAACACCA
rnacentral:tRNA from 1 species